rnacentral:lncRNA from 1 species
UGAGAGGUUUCGGUGCCUCUCCGAGAGGGUGCACCUGACACAGCUGUGUGUGCAGGCUGGAUGUUAGGCACACAGCCUGCAUGAAGCUGCAACAUGUUGUUUCACGCCACAUCAACUAUUCAUGUUAUCUUUUGCUUCUGUAUCCAACGCUGUAGAUAAAUCACUGAAGCCUUCUCUGUUCAACUCGUAGCAAGUCCAAGACAGAUAAAGCUUUUCCCACACAGACCUUCAACAACAGACCUUCACCAAGUAAAGCAGGCAUCCUGAGGAGAAUUCGAUUGUGUUAUGAAACACAUAGCAAACGGAGAAAAACAGGCUUUCCUAGUGAAGAAUUCAGAGUGGCUAAGUUAUGCACGGAAUUGGGAUUUUUCUCCCUAGUAGAAAAAACAAGGAAGGUGAGUUCUUUUAGGAUGAAGUUAGUGUUUAUGACUUGGUCAGGUUGGCUUUUUUUAUUCAAAAUGUUAAAACAAAAAUUGAAAGAAGUCAUCAGACUUGACUGUGUGUGUCUGUGUGUGUACAGCAAAUGUAAUCCACUUGACAAAAAUCCUCUAUUUUGAGAGGCAGAAGAAUUUUUGACCUUCCUCUAGGAAAUAUCUGAAGUGUGUGAGAGGGGAGAAGAGUUCUUCUCUUGCUUAAGUAUCAACUGUGUGAAUUAUUGAUAAUAUGAAAGAUCAGGCUGCAUUUUGGGUAGUUAUGACUUCUAAAU